rnacentral:lncRNA from 1 species
AAUUUGAAGAGUUGAUCAAAUAAGACAAUAAUCUAAUGGUUUAGAAGUAAUACUUCAUUCAAUGAUUGAGAUUUAUGAUGCUAACUCAUAAAAACCCUAGAGAUAAAGCACUACAUCAAGAUUCAAGAGAUAGGAAGCAACUUCUCAAAAUCCAAAAGUCAAGAAAGAAGGCACCACUUAAGAAACCCUAACUCCCUCA